ensembl:lncRNA
CUGAACUGGUUGGUCUGGGAGGCAGUGGACACAGGAACCUGGAGAUCAUAAAAAAAAUAUUCAAAACACACUCCUACCAGUAGGUUCCUACCUGUCUAAUGUCCACCUGUAGGUUCCUACCUGUCUAAUGUCCACCUGUAGGUUCCUACCUGUCUAAUGUCCACCACUAGGUUCCUACCUGUCUAAUGUCCACCUGUAGGUUCCUACCUGUCUAAUGUCCACCACUAGGUUCCUACCUGUCUAAUGUCCACCUGUAGGUUUCUCCUACCUGUCUAUUUGUCCAGGGGCAGGUUUUAUCUUGGCAUGAGAAGAAGCAGGCUCAGACACCGGAGAGGAGUUCUGUACAGUGGACAGAGCAUGAAUAAGUACUGGACAUGGAUAAGAUUAUUAACAUUAAAUAACUUUAUUAUUACCAUUACUAGAAUUAAACCUAAAUCAACAUAACAAAUAUUAUUAAUUAGUAUAAUCAUUAACAAAAUACUAUUAUCAGCAUUACUAUUAUUAGUCAACAUUAUUAACAUACUAUAUAUAAUAAAAAUAUCAUUAGCAUAAUCAGCAGACAGACAGACAGCCGGUAGAACAACAAACGGCAUACAGAUAGACAGGCAGUCACAGACAAUCAGACAGACAGACAGGUAGACAGACCGGUAGACUAGCAGAAUGACAGACAGGUAGACAAGCAGAGGUUGACAGACAGACAGACCAGCUCCUGGCUGAGGAGGCGUGCCAGCCUCUCGUCCUCCUCAAGUUUCUCCUCUUGCCGCCUUCUCUCCUGGGCCAAACGCAGCUCCUCCUCCUGCAGGAGGAGCUGGAUGAACUCCUCACUUGCCCUGCUCUCCGCCUCCUCCCCCACACGACGCUCCUCCUCCAGCUGCACACACACACACACACACACACACACACACACACACACACACACACACAC